UACGUAGGCAGCGAGCGUUGUUCGGAGUUACUGGGCGUAAAGGGUGCGUAGGCGGUUGUUUAAGUUUGGUGUGAAAUCUCCCGGCUCAACUGGGAGGGUGCGCCGAAUACUGAAUGACUAGAGUGCGGGAGAGGAGAGUGGAAUUCCUGGUGUAGCGGUGAAAUGCGUAGAUAUCAGGAAGAACACCCGUGGCGAAGGCGGCUCUCUGGAACGCAACUGACGCUGAGACGCGAAAGCGUGGGGAGCAAACAGG
rnacentral:rRNA from 1 species